GUGGUUGUUUAAGAUAUAAACCGAAUGUUUUGAUGGCUUGUUUAGUUUAAAAUGAAGAGACAGUUACCGAAAUCUAAUGAAUUAUAAUGAGCGGAUAGGUUCAAAGGGAGUAGUAUUAAGUAUUAUAUAAAUUUGGCGAUUUACAUGGUACAUAUAAGGUCCUAGACAUUUCAUAAGUGUGAAGCCGAAAGAGAGAUACAGUUGUAAUAUUGGUUUUAAUCUUACGAUAAAGGUAAGGCAGAACGUUGUUUGAGAAGAGGUACUCGCUGGGCUAUGUUUGGCGGGAAAGAAGCAUUUUGUGAUGUGAUAAAUUCUGGCUGUUGAUUCGUGGUAUUGAUUGUUUAGUAACACCAGUGAAUUGAACAAUGCAUGGAAAAAUAUCAAGUCAUUAAAGUGAAUUACAGGAGGAGUUUUGACCAGGAUGGAAAUAGCUUUGAAUAGAUGGAUGCUAUUGGCAUCCUCAGGGAGGUUCCAGAUGAAUACAAAGUUAUGAAUCAAAUAUGUGAAGGCUUUAAUUAACACUACAUUAUUUUGGUAGUUGACAAUAAAUAAAAAUGUGGAUUGAAUUAAUGACAUCUUUUAUAAUCAACAGAGAUUCAUGAAUGAAACCGGGGAUGCAGUAAAGAGGUUCUCUGACCAAUUAUCCGCCACCUCCCUCAUGACCUGGUAAAAUAGACUGACUCUCGAUAGGUUACGGGCAAAGAGGGCGGUGUAGGUAGAGUGAUUAGGUUCAUUACUGUACGUACAUUUCUGAUAACACAGCUCAUGUUUGGGAAAUGGAAAAGUGUUGGAAGAACUGUAUUAUGGCCUGCUUUCACUUGUAUGAGUGUGUUUGGGUUGUGUGGUUGUUGUUUGGUCCCGUGUGCGAGAGGUUUAAUCACCAGAACUCUAGAGAGAUGGAUAACGGAGCAGAUGGUGAGCUACGGACCGAGUCAAAGUUCAGACCAAUGAGACGACAAGUACCUACCGCCGAGCCUGGUGGAGGAUUCAUUCAAAUAUGAGGAGCACAUGUUAGAUGAGACCAACUAUUGGGAUUCAUGAAUUAGUUUGAAUUUAGGGGAAAUUAUUGAAUCCAAUAAAAAUAGAGCGGUUAUAAUGUAUGUGAAAUAUCUAGCAAAACGGAUGGAUUGUAAUGAUAUGAUUUUAAGUCCUAUUGAGACAUGACAAGCUAUCUGCUGAGAUGAAGGGUGUAGCAGGGGUAGGCGAGGGGAAUUGGAUGAAUUUCUUUUUUGGCAAGUACACAUCUAUGGUGGUUACAGGAAUUCGGACCCUAGUACUGGUGUUCCUAUUAUUGUUAUGUUGUGCUGCCUGUAUAAUCCCUUGCUUAAGAAAGUCUCUUACAGAAGUUGUCAGAGCAACCGGAAUGAUGCCUUUGAUGGAAUUGACCCCGGAGAACACUAAAUCCAGCUCUGGGCAAAGGACGGAUCUGUCAGAGGACGAUCCUUGUUUUGCUGUUGAGGAAGUGGUUGAAUAGGGCGUAUGCACAAUAAAUUCAUAUGUAUUGAAUGUAGUGGCAGGUAGAUGUGAAGGUUUUAUGUUCUGGGACAAAGUGUCUGUCCCACACAUGUUAGGUGUAGCCCCUGCCGCAAGAAGGUUUUCUUUUUAUACGUGUUGAAUAAUAUGUUAUGAAUUUGUCGUGUAUACUAUUUGUCUUUCCUGAUGUGAGGGUUUGAAGUUCCUGGGUGACUGGUAGUCAACCUAGUACAAGUGAGGUGUAGCCGGAAGGAUGUGAGGGUUUUUUACUAAUCAUCUAAUCAUUGAAAUGAAGAUAUACAAAUUGUGUUGAGUGACACCCUAGGGGGUGUCAAAAGGGGGACUCUUAAAUUUCCCUGAAAUUUCUUAUUGGAGUAUGUUCACACCCCAAGGGGUGUGAAAAGGGGGAUUGUUAGGGUUGAACUGGCUAUUUGUAUGCAUAACUUAUAUAAUAUACUGGGGAAGCUAUGCUACAAUGUUAAGUAUAUAAACUAUGGAUAAAUCAACUGCUGAAGACCAGAAGAACGACAACCGGCAACAGGAAGUGCGUCACGAGGCUGGGACCAGCCUGCACGCCGACGAUAGGAGGAGCAAGUUUAAACCACGCUCCUCCUCCCUCUGACAGGCCAGCAUUGAGCGGGAACUAUCUCUGUCAGAGUAUAAAAGAAAGAACAAUAUAAUGUGACGCUCUCUUCUCUGUUUGCCCUGCGAGGUAAAACAGCGAGACCGUAUAUAUACGAACCACCCGUUUACCACACACGUGUUUGCAUUAAUUAAAGUAC
rnacentral:lncRNA from 1 species